ensembl:snRNA U6 U6 spliceosomal RNA
GGUGCUCGCUUCGGCAACACAUACUAAAAUUGGAAUGAUACAGAGAAGGUUAGCAUGGCCUCUGCGCAGGGAUGACAAGCAAAUUCAUGAAGUAUUUCAUAUUUCU